UCUUCUUCUUCUUCUUCUUCCUCCUCCUUUCUCUCUCGGUUCUUAGGGUUUCGUCGAUUUGUUUUUGAGGGGAAUGUUGUCUGGCUCGAGGACGCUUUUCUUAACCCUCUAAGUUUCAAGGUCGUCGGACCAGGCUUCAUUCCCCCCAAUUAAUUCCACCGCCCCUCAACGACAAUAACGACGACGACAACGAAGAGAUUGGUGUGAUGAUGAAGUUCCUUUUUGACUUUCAGUUGGGUCUCUGCCCAAAAUCCCCUCUUUUUUCAUCAUUAUUGGCCCUUUUUUUUCCCUUUUUUGCUUUAUUAUCUGCUCAUUUUUCUCUCUCUUCUUGCAUGUCUUGGCGUCGAUGAGUUCAUGAGUUGAUAUCAAUCCAGUUACAAUGAUGGCGAUAUUCAAAUUGUGGGUAUCAUUUAUCAUGCCAUGAUCUUGUUC